rnacentral:lncRNA from 1 species
GACAAAGCCACGGAGAUUUGCAAAUACCAGUACUGAGAGCAAAACCACAGCCAGACAGAGACAGAGGAUUGUGACCAACGUUCUUCGCAAUGAUUCUUUGCACGCAUUGGGAAGAAGGGAGAGAACAGAAGAGGAUAAACAAAGGCCACAGAGGAUUUAAUCUACAUGAUCAUGAACGUAAGUUCUACCUAUUGUCCUUUAAAAGAGCUCGGUAAGUUGAAAUGUCUAUUUUGCACAAAUGCAAACGUUAAUUUCUAUCACCUAUGGAAAAAAAAAACCCACAUUUCAGCUUAGAACUGAACAGUGGAAAACAGCUGCAUGGAUGCAUUGGUUGACUAAGAAAAACCGCUUGACAAGAACUUAGGAUUCUACUGCAACAGCAGCUAUUAAGACUCCUAUAGUUUCUUUUUUGCUCUUUCAAAGUGUACAAAUAUUUGCAAUUUACACAGUCCUCACAAAAACACAUCUACAAACUCCGCAGGGUAUUUGCUAGUUAGCAACUCCAUGUAAGUCCUUUGUAUUAAAAAGGCAAGGUUUGCAUAAUAAAAUUCCUUUCAGGAAAAAAAAAAAAGUUAUUUUGCUAUCUUAAAAUAACUGCUGAUUGGAAAGGUAUAAAUGUAUGGGCUUUCAUUAAUUGCAACUGGAAUAAAAAUGCUUCGGAACAAACUGUGUCACUCUAAGAACAGUUUGUUGUGCUGCUUCUGUAAGACCUGAAGUAUUAGCAGAUAUGGGCUACUGAUAAGCUCAGUGUUAAGCCUGCAUUAGAAUGCAGCUAGUGAAAAAUCAGUGGCAACAAACAGUAAGACCAGAGGAAGAAUACAGCUUAGCCUUAAAUACACCAAUUUGUUCCUGAACUUUGAGUUAGGUUCUGCAUUUGUUUCCUCAGUGGAGACUGAGUCCAGAGCUAGAAGUGAUCUCACACACAGCAGCAGAUCACCCUGACCAGAAGAACCAUCCAAGCUAGAACAGCACUGCAAUUCCUUCCUUCCUGUUACUCUUGGGUCACUGUUGUAACAACUGUCAGUUUGCUAAUAAUCUUUAGUACUGCUUAAGGGAUUGGUGAUAGGAAAGUACAAUUAAUGUACACUGGCAUUAGUUUACAGAAUUAUCAGGUGCCCACUACCUGAAAAUUAGACUCGCUAAUGAAUUAGUUCUGAAGGAAAGCAACUAGUACUUAAAUAUAACAAAUAUUAACGUUUCCAGCAUGUUACACAGUUCUGAGGUAAAGUGUUACCAGUAUUCUGUCUGCUGGGUCGGUGCCUUGCAGCAAUGGCAUUUGCAGUGGGAACUGGCCCUUGCAGCAUUUACAGCCAAUGAGACAUUCUAGUCUCACGUGGUUUGUAUCAACCACAUCUUCAGUUUGAUCCUAUUUAAAAACAGCUGUUCUGUGCGGGUCAUAAUGCAGUCAAAGUUACAGAAUUUGUUUGCUUGGUCACUAGAGUGCUGUAUUUGGAAAACAACCCAGGGUACAGACAAGGGUUCAUUACUUCAGUGUUUAAUUUCAGUUUACAAAACUUACUGAAUCCACUCUGACUUAUGUUAGAGAAAACCAGAUAAUUAGAAGAACAGGCUUAGGAAACAACAAACAAAACCACCAAGCAGUGCAUAAUACCAACUAUCCAAUGCACUGAUUUGCACUGUGAGCUAUGAAGCCAUAGUGACUCUAUUACACCUUUUGAAAAUCAAUCCAGAAGCACACAAGUAUUUUCCAUUAGUUUA